AGAAUCAACGCUGGCGGCGUGCCUAACACAUGCAAGUCGCACGAGAAAGGGUAGCAAUACCUGAGUACAGUGGCGCACGGGUGAGUAACACGUGAAUAAUCUACCUCCGAGUGGGGAAUAACUGAGAGAAAUCUUAGCUAAUACCGCAUAACACUUACGAGUCAAAGCAGCAAUGCGCUUGGAGAGGAGUUCGCGGCAGAUUAGUUAGUUGGCGGGGUAAUGGCCCACCAAGACGAUGAUCUGUAUCCGGCCUGAGAGGGCGCACGGACACACUGGAACUGAAACACGGUCCAGACUCCUACGGGAGGCAGCAGUGGGGAAUUUUGCGCAAUGGGGGAAACCCUGACGCAGCAACGCCGCGUGGAGGAUGAAAUCCCUUGGGAUGUAAACUCCUUUCGAUAGGGAAGAUAAUGACGGUACCUAUAGAAGAAGCCCCGGCUAACUUCGCGCCAGCAGCCGC
rnacentral:rRNA from 1 species